rnacentral:rRNA from 1 species
GGCGGUCUGUCAAGUCGGAUGUGAAAUCCCCGGGCUCAACCUGGGAACUGCAUUCGAAACUGGCAGGCUUGAGUCUUGUAGAGGGGGGUAGAAUUCCAGGUGUAGCGGUGAAAUGCGUAGAGAUCUGGAGGAAUACCGGUGGCGAAGGCGGCCCCCUGGACAAAGACUGACGCUCAGGUGCGAAAGCGUGGGGAGCAAACAGGAUUAGAUACCCUGGUAGUCCACGCCGUAAACGAUGUCUACUUGGAGGUUGUGCCCUUGAGGCGUGGCUUCCGGAGCUAACGCGUUAAGUAGACCGCCUGGGGAGUACGGCCGCAAGGUUAAAACUCAAAUGAAUUGACGGGGGCCCGCACAAGCGGUGGAGCAUGUGGUUUAAUUCGAUGCAACGCGAAGAACC